rnacentral:rRNA from 1 species
UACGUAGGGCGCAAGCGUUGUCCGGAAUUAUUGGGCGUAAAGAGCUCGUAGGCGGUCUGUCACGUCUGCCGUGAAAACCCGAGGCUUAACCUCGUGGCUUGCGGUGGAUACGGGCAGACUAGAGGUAGGUAGGGGAGAACGGAAUUCCCGGUGUAGCGGUGAAAUGCGCAGAUAUCGGGAGGAACACCGGUGGCGAAGGCGGUUCUCUGGGCCUUACCUGACGCUGAGGAGCGAAGGUCAGGGGAGCAAACGGG